CAGGGUCGACGACCCGCUCACCCGGAAGCAGUUGUGGCCGUGACUGCCCGGGAGUGGCGUUUGCCGCAGGCCGGCCUUGCACCCCGCUGGGCAAAGUACGCGGGGCUGUCAGACGACGAGCUGAGCCCUGGGCCGGCGGAUUCUGAACUAUUUCCAAGAAAAUGCCACCACUUGCUUCAUCUCCUGAGGCACCUUGAAUACCCCUUUGCCUUGAAUGAGAGAGAGAAAAUUGUUUUUCCUUCAUUCAUAUAAUUGUGGAAUGAUAGCUCUGAAAAAGCCAUGAGAGCUGAUGAAGGCCUCCUGUCUCCAAGAAAGAACAGAAAUGGAGAAGAUUUGGUCUCUUUCGUUCACCACUAUAUCCUUAGCAGUGUCUUGAACAAUGCCUGACACAUACCCGCCUGAACCCAGGUGAAAUAAACCGCCUUGUCGCUCAUACAAAGCCUGUUUGGUGGUCUCCUCACAUGGACGCGUGAGACAUUUGGUGCCGAAGACCCGGGUCAGCGGGACUCCUUCGGGAGACCAGUCCCCUGUCCUCACCCUCACUCCGUGAAGAGAUCCACCUACGACCUCGGGUCCUCAGACCAACCAGCCCAAGGAACAUCUCACCGAUUUUAAAUCGAAUCUCCUUGGCUUAGCAGCUGAAGACUGAUGCUGCCCGAUCGCCUUGGACGCCCCCUGGACCGUCACGGACGCUGAGCUUCGGGUCACUCUUACAGUGGAGGACAGGAAUAUCAGGCCUCUGAGCCCAAGCUAAGCCAUCA